AUUGAACGCUGGCGGCAGGCUUAACACAUGCAAGUCGAGCGAGCGGCGGACGGGUGAGUAAUGUCUGGGAAACUGCCUGAUGGAGGGGGAUAACUACUGGAAACGGUAGCUAAUACCGCAUACCAUCAGAUGUGCCCAGAUGGGAUUAGCUAGUAGGUGGGGUAAUGGCUCACCUAGGCGACGAUCCCUAGCUGGUCUGAGAGGAUGACCGGCCACACGGGAACGGGGACAGGGUCCGAAUCCCAACGGAGGGAGGCAGUGGGGAAUAUUGGAAAAUGGGGGAAAGCCGAAUGCAGCCAUGCCGCGUGGGUGAAGAGGGCCUUGGGGUUGUAAAGCACUUUCAGCGAGGAGGCGGUACUCGCAGAAGAAGCACCGGCUAACUCCGUGCCAGCCGCCGCGGUAAUUC
rnacentral:rRNA from 1 species